rnacentral:antisense_RNA from 17 species
CUUCAACGACCCCAGCCACAACGGCCGGUCGCCCGGACGGUCCUGGCCAUACGUGGCCAGCAACGCCUGCGCCUC